rnacentral:rRNA from 1 species
AACGAACGCUGGCGGCAGGCUUAACACAUGCAAGUCGAGCGCCCCGCAAGGGGAGCGGCAGACGGGUGAGUAACGCGUGGGAACGUACCUUUUGGUUCGGAACAACUCCGGGAAACUGGAGCUAAUACCGGAUAAGCCCUAACGGGGCAAGAUUUAUCGCCGAAAGAUCGGCCCGCGUCUGAUUAGCUAGUUGGUGAGGUAACGGCUCACCAAGGCGACGACCAGUAGCUGGUCUGAGAGGAUGAUCAGCCACACUGGGACUGAGACACGGCCCAGACUCCUACGGGAGGCAGCAGUGGGGAAUAUAGGAAAAUGGGCGCAAGCCUGAUCCAGCCAUGCCGCGUGAAUGAUGAAGGCCUUAGGGUUGUAAAGCUCUUUUGUCCGGGAAGAUAAUGACUUUACCGGAAUAAUAAGCCCCGGCUAACUUCGUG